rnacentral:rRNA from 1 species
GACGAACGCUGGCGGCGUGCCUAAUACAUGCAAGUUGAGCGCUGAAGGUUGGUACUUGUACCGACUGGAUGAGCAGCGAACGGGUGAGUAACGCGUGGGGAAUCUGCCUUUGAGCGGGGGACAACAUUUGGAAACGAAUGCUAAUACCGCAUAAAAACUUUAAACACAAGUUUUAAGUUUGAAAGAUGCAAUUGCAUCACUCAAAGAUGAUCCCGCGUUGUAUUAGCUAGUUGGUGAGGUAAAGGCUCACCAAGGCGAUGAUACAUAGCCGACCUGAGAGGGUGAUCGGCCAAAUUGGGACUGAGACACGGCCCAAACUCCUACGGGAGGCAGCAGUAGGGGAACUUCGGAAAUAGACGAAAGUCUAACCGAGCAACGCCGCGUGAGUGAAGAAGGUUUUCGGAUCGUAAAACUCUGUUGGUAGAGAAGAACGUUGGGGAGAGUGGAAAGCUCAUCAAGUGACGGUAACUACCCAGAAAGGGACGGCUAACUACGUG